UACGUAGGGGGCAAGCGUUGUCCGGAAUCAUUGGGCGUAAAGCGCGUGUAGGCGGCUUGGUAAGUCUGCUCUGAAAGCCCGGGGCUCAACCCCGGGAGGCGGGUGGAUACUGUCAAGCUCGAGUCCGGAAGAGGCGAGUGGAAUUCCAGGUGUAGCGGUGAAAUGCGUAGAUAUCUGGAGGAACACCGGUGGCGAAGGCGGCGUCCUGGACCAACACUGACACUGAGGAGCGAAAGCCAGGGGAGCAAACGGG
rnacentral:rRNA from 1 species